rnacentral:rRNA from 1 species
CGGUACAGGGUGAUAGUCCCGUACACCAAAAUGCACAGGUUGUGAACUCGAAGAGUAGGGCGGGACACGUGGUAUCCUGUCUGAAUAUGGGGGGACCAUCCUCCAAGGCUAAAUACUCCUGACUGACCGAUAGUGAACCAGUACCGUGAGGGAAAGGCGAAAAGAACCCCGGCGAGGGGAGUGAAAAAGAACCUGAAACCGUGUACGUACAAGCAGUGGGAGCACCUUCGGGUGUGACUGCGUACCUUUUGUAUAAUGGGUCAGCGACUUAUAUUCUGUAGCAAGGUUAACCGUAUAGGGGAGCCGCAGGGAAACCGAGUCUUAACUGGGCGUUAAGUUGCAGGGUAUAGACCCGAAACCCGGUGAUCUAGCCAUGGGCAGGUUGAAGGUUGGGUAACACUAACUGGAGGACCGAACCGACUAAUGUUGAAAAAUUAGCGGAUGACUUGUGGCUGGGGGUGAAAGGCCAAUCAAACCGGGAGAUAGCUGGUUCUCCCCGAAAGCUAUUUAGGUAGCGCCUCGUGAACUCAUCUUCGGGGGUAGAGCACUGUUUCGGCUAGGGGGUCAUCCCGACUUACCAACCCGAUGCAAACUACGAAUACCGAAGAAUGUUAUCACGGGAGACACACGGCGGGUGCUAACGUCCGUCGUGAAGAGGGAAACAACCCAGACCGCCAGCUAAGGUCCCAAAGUCAUGGUUAAGUGGGAAACGAUGUGGGAAGGCACAGACAGCCAGGAUGUUGGCUUAGAAGCAGCCAUCAUUUAAAGAAAGCGUAAUAGCUCACUGGUCGAGUCGGCCUGCGCGGAAGAUGUAACGGGGCUAAACCAUGCACCGAAGCUGCGGCAGCGACACUAUGUGUUGUUGGGUAGGGGAGCGUUCUGUAAGCCUGCGAAGGUGUGCUGUGAGGCAUGCUGGAGGUAUCAGAAGUGCGAAUGCUGACAUAAGUAACGAUAAAGCGGGUGAAAAGCCCGCUCGCCGGAAGACCAAGGGUUCCUGUCCAACGUUAAUCGGGGCAGGGUGAGUCGACCCCUAAGGCGAGGCCGAAAGGCGUAGUCGAUGGGAAACAGGUUAAUAUUCCUGUACUUGGUGUUACUGCGAAGGGGGGACGGAGAAGGCUAUGUUAGCCGGGCGACGGUUGUCCCGGUUUAAGCAUGUAGGCUGGUUAUCCAGGCAAAUCCGGAUAAUCAAGGCUGAGGUGUGAUGACGAGGCACUACGGUGCUGAAGUAACAAAUGCCCUGCUUCCAGGAAAAGCCUCUAAGCAUCAGGUAACAUCAAAUCGUACCCCAAACCGACACAGGUGGUCAGGUAGAGAAUACCAAGGCGCUUGAGAGAACUCGGGUGAAGGAACUAGGCAAAAUGGUGCCGUAACUUCGGGAGAAGGCACGCUGGUGUGUAGGUGAAGUCCCUGCGGAUGGAGCUGAGACCAGUCGAAGAUACCAGCUGGCUGCAACUGUUUAUUAAAAACACAGCACUGUGCAAACACGAAAGUGGACGUAUACGGUGUGACGCCUGCCCGGUGCCGGAAGGUUAAUUGAUGGGGUUAUCCGUAAGGAGAAGCUCUUGAUCGAAGCCCCGGUAAACGGCGGCCGUAACUAUAACGGUCCUAAGGUAGCGAAAUUCCUUGUCGGGUAAGUUCCGACCUGCACGAAUGGCGUAAUGAUGGCCAGGCUGUCUCCACCCGAGACUCAGUGAAAUUGAACUCGCUGUGAAGAUGCAGUGUACCCGCGGCAAGACGGAAAGACCCCGUGAACCUUUACUAUAGCUUGACACUGAACAUUGAGCCUUGAUGUGUAGGAUAGGUGGGAGGCUUUGAAGCGUGGACGCCAGUCUGCGUGGAGCCAACCUUGAAAUACCACCCUUUAAUGUUUGAUGUUCUAACGUUGGCCCCUGACCGGGGUUGCGGACAGUGUCUGGUGGGUAGUUUGACUGGGGCGGUCUCCUCCCAAAGCGUAACGGAGGAGCACGAAGGUUAGCUAAUCCUGGUCGGACAUCAGGAGGUUAGUGCAAUGGCAUAAGCUAGCUUGACUGCGAGCGUGACGGCGCGAGCAGGUGCGAAAGCAGGUCAUAGUGAUCCGGUGGUUCUGAAUGGAAGGGCCAUCGCUCAACGGAUAAAAGGUACUCCGGGGAUAACAGGCUGAUACCGCCCAAGAGUUCAUAUCGACGGCGGUGUUUGGCACCUCGAUGUCGGCUCAUCACAUCCUGGGGCUGAAGUAGGUCCCAAGGGUAUGGCUGUUCGCCAUUUAAAGUGGUACGCGAGCUGGGUUUAGAACGUCGUGAGACAGUUCGGUCCCUAUCUGCCGUGGGCGCUGGAGAAUUGAGGGGGGCUGCUCCUAGUACGAGAGGACCGGAGUGGACGCAUCACUGGUGUUCGGGUUGUCAUGCCAAUGGCACUGCCCGGUAGCUAAAUGCGGAAGAGAUAAGUGCUGAAAGCAUCUAAGCACGAAACUUGCCCCGAGAUGAGUUCUCCCUGAGACUAUAAGUCUCCUGAAGGAACGUUAAAGACGAUGACGUUGAUAGGCCGGGUGUGUAAGCGCAGCGAUGCGUUGAGCUAACCGGUACUAAUGAACCGUGAGGCUUAACCUUACAACGCCGAAG